rnacentral:lncRNA from 1 species
CCCUGUUGACUGUUGUCCUGUCCAAGUAGAGACCCUGAAGACGGGAGGACAAAGGUUCGCUGUUGGAGACCCUUUCUCUCCAUCCUCCUCCUCCAAAAGGCACCUCGCCAUCCGCAGUGAAGAUAGACCGCCUCCCUCCUGCCAUCAGAAACCUACAGGAACGAACACAAAUCUGUUAUUUUAACACAACGUGGGCACAAAGUGGUGUUUUCAUUCCGAAUAAAGCUGG